GAGAGCAGCGCAUAUAUUCACAGAAAGAAUAUAGGUGACUUAAAACUUCCCCGGCAGAACUUCACUGAAACAGCUCUGGAAAGAGCGGUGACAGUUAACCAGAUUUGUAGACCUUCCCACGUACCCUUAUGGACAGAGUCAAACAUGGAGCUGUUGGCAAAGCAGAAAUGUGGUCUGCAGAGUUUGAGCCCCAGUGUCACAAAGCAGAGUGUAAAAGGGUAAAUAACAGCUUACAAGCAGAAGUCACGAAGAUCUUACUGAAAAUAACCAUAACAUAAUCUUUCAUCUAAAGACUUUCCUGGCUCCUCCUGUAUAGUGCUUUACUUUGCUGAACUUGCAUACACACCAGGUUAAUUUAUAGUUGGAGAAAAGCCUUAUAACUCUUAAAGCCCCCUAACUCACUCUCCAGCUUCCAAGGACACAGGGGUUAUGUCAACAUGCUGGGAUGCUAUAGGGACAUUAAAAUGACAAACGUGCUAACUAAUGUCAAUAUAUGGACAUGGUAAUACAAAAUUUAAAAAUUAAAAAAAAAAAUCCCAGAAGACAACAUCCUAGGGGUACUUAUAUAUAACAAUGUAAAGUUUAUAGAUGUACAUGAAAAGAUUGGAAGUAAAAUUGGAAUAAUGUGAAUUAAAUUGAAAUAAGUCAUUGUACCUCAAUGUUCCAUUUUUUCUUUCUAUAAAAUUGUGCAAGUUCAUAAUUGUUUUUUUAAAGAAAAAAUGAGAAAAUUUGCUCAUUUGUGUUUCCCAAACUGCUUCUCUAUUAGAUCUGUGUCCAUGCCAAUGGUUUUUUUUUUUUGUAUCUUCUUUGAACAAAUAAAGUAAUGUUGGUUUUGUCUGACCUAUAACCCCAGCUUUUUAAACACUUUAUGCUUUUACAGCUGUUUAGUAUAAUAUCAUAGACUGAGUAGAGUUUGCCCUCUGAAUUAAUUUUCAAAAUAAGAUCAAUAUGUACAAUUAAAGAAAAUCACUAUAAAAACUAUACUAUCUAUCAUACAACA